UACGAAGGGGGCUAGCGUUGCUCGGAAUGACUGGGCGUAAAGGGCGCGUAGGCGGACUGCACAGUCAGGCGUGAAAUUCCUGGGCUUAACCUGGGGACUGCGUCUGAGACGUGUGAUCUAGAGUGAGGAAGAGGGUCGUGGAAUUUCCAGUGUAGAGGUGAAAUGCGUAGAUAUUGGAAAGAACACCGGUGGCGAAGGCGGCGACCUGGACCUUCACUGACGCUGAGGCACGAAAGCGUGGGGAGCAAACAGG
rnacentral:rRNA from 1 species